AGGAGCCGUAUGCAACGAAAGUCGCACGUACGGAUUUGUAGGAGAGAUGCUCCCCUUAAUAGGGGACAUCGACUCUAAC
rfam:Lyngbya majuscula 3L genomic scaffold scf46166, whole genome shotgun sequence.